rnacentral:rRNA from 1 species
GAUGAACGCUAGCGACAGGCCUAAACACAUGCAAGUCGAGGGGCAACGGGGCGUAGCAAUACGCUGCCGGCGACCGGCGGAUGGGUGAGUAACGCGUAUGCAACCUGCCUUCAGCAGGGGGAUAGCCCGUUGAAAGACGGAUUAAUACCCCAUAACACAGGGGCUCCGCAUGGAGAUUAUUGUUAAAGGGAUGCUUCCUUCGGGGGUAUUCCGGCUGAAGAUGGGCAUGCGUUCCAUUAGGUAGUUGGUUGAGGUAACGGCUCACCAAGCCUACGAUGGAUAGGGGAACUGAGAGGUUGGUCCCCCACACUGGUACUGAGACACGGACCAGACUCCUACGGGAGGCAGCAGUGAGGAAUCUUGGUCAAUGGACGGAAGUCUGAACCAGCCAUGUCGCGUGAAGGAGGACGGCCCUAAGGGUUGUAAACUUCUUUUGCAGCGGAAUAAAGUAUUCCACGUGAUGGGAUAUUGCAAGUACGCUGCGAAUAAGGAUCGGCUAACUCCGU